rnacentral:lncRNA from 1 species
AUUAUUCAUGGAUAAAGGGAAUAUUUAUCCACUUUCUCCCCUUCCGCAUUAGACAAAGUUUGCACCCUAGGAUGUUAACUCUCUCUUUCUCUCUUUCUGUCUUUCUGCCUGGGGAUUUUCUCUGGUCACAGAAGCAUGCUGUGUGCACACGCAAGGCAGGCCAGAAGUAUCAGGGAGUCCACGCCCCCAACAGCAACUGUCAACCAAUGAGAAACAGGAGUGUCAGCUUCCUUGCUUGUCAGUGAGAGACUACUGAGGUGCCUUGCAGUGUCUCAGGAGGUCCCCUUGGGGUUGACCCUCAAGUGGCCGUGGUGAUAAAUAAGCUUCUCAUUAAUACAGCCUUUAUUGCUUUUCCUUCCUUCCUUCCCCGCUUCCCUUCUCCAGACCCCUUUCAGUGAGCUAUUGGGAUCAUCUCUCAAAUAAACUCCUGGCACUCAAAUCCUUGUCUAAGGCUCUGCUUUGGCAGAACCCAAAGUAAGACACUGAUUCAGAAUACUUAGGAUGCAGGCCGGACAUGGUGGCUCACACCUGUAAUCCCAAUGCUUUGGGAGACCAAGGCAGGAGGAUCAUUUAAGGCCAGGAGUUUGAGACCAACCUGGGCAGCAUAGUGAGACCCCAUCUCUACAAAAAAUAAUAAAAAGUAGUCAGGCAUGGUGGUGUUCACCCGUAGUCCUAACUACUCAAGAGGCUGAGGCAGGAGCGUCACUUGAGCCCAGGAAUUAGAGACUGCAAUGAACCAUAAUCAUGCCACUGCACUCCUUCCUAGAUGAUAAGAUGAGAUCCCAUCUCUAUAAGAAAUUUAAAAAUUAUCUGGGCAUGGUAUUGUGAACCUGUAGUCCAGGAGGCUGAGGCAGAAGGGUCACUGGAGCCCCAGAAGGUCAAGGCUGCAGUGAGCCGUGAUAGCUGCAUUCCAACCUGGGUGACAGAGCAAGACCCUGUCUCACACACACACACACACAAAUGCUUGGGGUGGGGCGCAGGACUCUGCAUUUAACCAUCAUCACUCUCUAAGCACUCAGAUAUGCAGACUCAACCUCUAUCCCUCUGCCCCAAGUAAAUUUUCCUAUUGAUGCUGUCAGACAAAUUUGUAGAUUAGACUGAAAUUCCUCAGUGACAAGCAGAUUUUUCAGUUGAGUUGAGACCAAGAGAUUUAGCAAAUUCUCUAGCUAAUUCAGUUAAUCUAUGAAAAGUUUCCAAACAUAAGCAUUUUCAAACAUAAGACCUAAGUACAAAUCAGCUUAUGACAUGGAAAGUAGUAAUCAGGAUAUUGUCAAAACCCUACUACAUAAAUAAAUAAGGAUAAAGAAUCCUAAAUGUUCCUUACCUCAUAACACCCAGAAUAAUUUUGUCUAAAUUAAUUAAUAUUUACUAUCUAUCCUUU